rnacentral:rRNA from 1 species
GACGAACGCUGGCGGCGUGCCUAAUACAUGCAAGUCGAGCGAACAGACGAGGAGCUUGCGGCUCUCACGUUAGCGGCGGACGGGUGAGAAACACGUGGAUCACCUACCUAUAAGUCUGGGAUAUUUUCGGGACACCGGCGCAUAUACCGGAUGAGAUCUUGCACCACGUGGUUCAUUAGUGAAAUACGGUUUUGGUGUAACUACUAGCGGGAUCCGCGCCGCAUUGGGUAGUUGGUCAGGUAAAGGGUUACCACGGGAACGAUGCGUAGGCGAGGUGAGAGAGUGAUCGGCCACAUUGGAACUUAGACACGGUCCAGACUCCUACGGGAGGCAGCAGUAGCGAAUGUUCCGCAAUGGGCGAAAGCCUGACACAGCAACGCCGCGUGAGUUAUGAUGGUCUUCGGAUCGUGAAACUCUGUUACGAGGGAAAAACAAAUGUGUAAGGAGCUAUACACGUCUUGACGGUACCUAAUCAAAAAGCCCCGGCUAACUACGUG